ACUUCCCUCUCUUACCAUGGGCAGGGGGUGGGGGCAGUGGGCCAGGCUAUGUGGCAUAGUUACACACCAAGUUCAAAUGCUCACCUUCAUCUGCUUCUUCCUUCUCUACUUCCUCUCCCAGGUCAAACCCAAAAACAUCUCCAAAUGGGGUAUCAGGGUUGAAGAUGGCCUGCAACACAGCCUGAUCAUUUGGAGUUCCCAUGAUGCUCAACUCCAAAGCUCCAAAAGGUGACUCAGAAAAGCCCCCGGCCAUGAAUGGGAGACCUAGGACAGAAGUUGGAACAAAGAGCAGGCAGAGUUUCAACUUGCUACUACUACUUCAGUGUAAACUAUGUAUCAGUCUUCUUCAAUGUAUCCAGGAAAUUGUGAGCCAUGCAAAACUACAUAGUGCCUGAAAUGCUGGGGUGAAAGGAAAGAAGGGUACUUUUAAUGACCCUCUCCAUGUAAGACUUACCGAGCUGACUUGAGCUGUACCUCUUCCUCUUCCUCAUCGUUGGGAUUGUAUUCAGGAGGCUGUCGAUGUUUAGAAGCCAGGAAGUUAAACAUGUCAAAUGCUGACUUCCUGGAGUCAAAAGAUUAAAAUGUAUUUAGAGAAAUGCUUUGAUAAAGUAGUAUGUAAGACAGUGGCAUCAUCACUAGAAAUCUCAAAGAGUGUAUGGGAAAAUAAUUGUAUCAUUAGAUAAUAAAAUCAUAAUUCCAAACUGUUUCCAAAAAGAAUGAAACUUACCUCAGGUGGACUUCAGCCCUGGCUGAGCCAUGAGGGUUCAACGGGGGUUCAUUGGCCUCCUCAGGUUUGUGGAAACGGAAUUUAUAAUUCCGACAGUGCUUGGCACCAGACAGUUGCUCAAUAAGGAAUACAACUGCAUCGUGAAGAAUCCCCAGCAUCCUCAAACCGUUAACACCUGUAGAACAAAAGGCACCUGGAUGGUGAGGCAUGCAGCCAACAUGUACUAAUGAAAUGCUUGUGCAGAGAAAAACUCUGGGGGCCAGAGUUGGCUCAAGGGUGAAUGAUAUCAACUUAUUAAACAGAAAUCAGCAUUAGAUAGCUGUUAAAAUAAUGCUGAUAGAGAUCUAGCAAUACAGAAAACACUCAUGAUAGGUAGCUAAGUGAAAAAGUAUGCCACCAAAGUCAACUAUUUUCUAUAUGAUGUACACACAGAAAUGCUACAUGCAUUAUUUCAUUUCAUGCUCAUAAUAACCACCCAAGGCAGACGCUACUAGGUGCUGCUGCUGCUUUUUUGUGGUAUUAGGGAUUGAACCCAGGGACUUGUGCAUAACAGGCAAGUACUCUACCACUGAGCUACACCCCCAGCCCAUUACUAACUUCAUUUUAAGGGGAUAGAUCUAGUUUCAGAAUUUAACACAUCCAAGAUCAAAGAGCUAGUGUGCAAGAUUUAAAACUUAGAUUGUAAAACUCCAAAUACAAUUCCAUAUUUGUUUAUAGGCAAUGGAGUACAGGGGUUCCGUAAGCUGAUAUGCACACAGGUGUCUCAAUAAUUUUGAAAGGAACAUUAGUUACACACCUAACACAGAACUCUCCUAUGCUGUUACAGUGAAUGCAGGGAGUAAUACCCUUAAUAGCUGCUUUAUUUUAACUCAGUUUCAGAUAUGUACACAAACAACCCAAGUUGAAAAUUGUCCAGCUUUAGUAGAAAGUACUGUGGGAACUCUUAAGAGGGAACAACUUAUAGUCAUAAACCACAUAACAAUGCUUCAGUCAACAAUAGACAUAUCUGAUGGCAAAUAUGAUGGUGGUCCCCUAACAUUAUAUAGGAGCUGAAAUACUCCUAUCCCCUAAUGACACGGCAGUUAACAUAACAUCCAUCAUAGUGCCAUGUUCCAAUGCAGCUCUCAGCAAACCUACUGCACUGCUUGUCACAUAAAAGUAUAGCAUAUACGAUUAUGUACAGUACAGAAUACUUGAUAAUAAAUGACUAUAUUACUGGUCUAUAUAUUUACUUUACUAUACUUCUUAGUGUUAUUUUGGACUGGACUCCUACUUAUGAAGACAAAAAAGUUAACUGUAAAACAGCCCCAGGCAGGCCCCUCAGAAGUCAUUCCAGAAGGUCUUGCUCUCAUAAAAAAGGUCAGCUUCGUGUGUACCCCUAAGUACUUCCACCGGGACAAGAUGUGAAGGUGGAAAACAGCCCAGGGUAAUGUGUGUGUUUAUAUAGUAGUUUU